rnacentral:misc_RNA from 1 species
GUAUUGUAUUGCGUUAAACGCGUCAUGCAUUCCAUGAGACUUUGUUACAGAGUGUGUGUAAAGACGUAGGACCAUAACAGGAGGACAGAGUCCCCCACGCCACAGAACUACAGAGGGUGCACAGGUGUGAGUGGAUGUGUAAACAGAGCGUGCACAUGCCCCCAUACAGGGACCAGCAACAACUCUUGUUGACAAUUCGGUAAUGAUCCUUCCGCAGGUUCACCUACGGAAA